AUUGAACGCUGGCGGCAGGCCUAACACAUGCAAGUCGAGCGGAUGAGUGGAGCUUGCUCCAUGAUUCAGCGGCGGACGGGUGAGUAAUGCCUAGGAGUCUGCCCUGGUAGUGGGGGACAACGUUUCGAAAGGAACGCUAAUACCGCAUACGUCCUACGGGAGAAAGCAGGGGGACCUUCGGGCCUUGCGCUAUCAGAUGAGCCUAGGUCGGAUUAGCUAGUAGGUGAGGUAAUGGCUCACCUAGGCGACGAUCCGUAACUGGUCUGAGAGGAUGAUCAGUCACACUGGAACUGAGACACGGUCCAGACUCCUACGGGAGGCAGCAGUGGGGAAUAUUGGACAAUGGGCGAAAGACCUGAUCCAGCACUGCCGCGUGUGUGAAGAAGGUCUUCGGAUUGUAAAGCAC
rnacentral:rRNA from 1 species